CUCCCGAUAGUUAAGACUUACUUCGAACCUUACAGUGCCAGGCCUUCACAGAUGUUAAAUUUUCAUUUGACUUUCAUUUUAAAAUAAGAGAAUUAAGAUUGUAGGUAAAUUGAAAGAAGAAGUGGAGAGUUAUCCGGACUGAGCGCAGGAACCGGAAGUAGAAUCUCAAACGACAGAAGAGAAGGAAAUGUGAACGUCGAUGCGGGGGAGACGAGAUUGCUCUGAAAAAGACUGCAGGGUGAGAGGGGGAAGAAAGAGUCCCUAUCAUGGAGGCUGCAGUCAGCCAGUGUGGAGCAUUUUCCUCAGCAGGAAAUCAUGUCACCUCUCAGGGAGUGCUUCCAGGAGAAAGACUUGUCAGAGUUCAGUCUUCUGCAAGGCUGGCUUCCUCCAGCCUAACCAUGCUAUGCACUCGUGCUUCAAAAAGCCUUCAAACAUUAAUUAACGUUUUCUGAAAAGCACCCAACCAUUCGGCUCUGAUAGCAGCGAGAUUGAAAAGCACGGAGUUCUGCAGAGGUUUGGCAGUGUGGCGAAGGAUCCAGACACAAAACCUGGGAGCUGUGUGCGCCUGCUGCACUUGCCUUACUGAGAUGCUAUCAGCUGUAGAUCCAAUCCCCAUCAAUCAAAUGCACAGCAGAUGAAAAUCUUUUUUACCCUUCUGCCUUCUCUACUGAAGACAAUAUUUGCCUCUCAUGGAGCUGAAUUUUUUCAUCAAUGAAUUCGACUUGCAUUGGCCUUGUUCAGAGGACCUGAGUUCAUUUUCCAGAACUCAGGCCAGGUACCAGACAACUCCAGUGUUAGCCUCCACCAGUCUUUGUCACAUGAAUGCAUACACACAAGAAAACAUUCACACACAUAAAAUAAAAAUAAAUUUGAAACAA
rnacentral:sRNA from 1 species